ACACUCCUACGGGAGGCAGCAGUGGGGAAUUUUGGACAAUGGGCGAAAGCCUGAUCCAGCAAUGCCGCGUGUGUGAAGAAGGCCUUCGGGUUGUAAAGCACUUUUGUCCGGAAAGAAAUCCUUGGCUCUAAUACAGUCGAGGGAUGACGGUACCGGAAGAAUAAGCACCGGCUAACUACGUGCCAGCAGCCGCGGUAAUACGUAGGGUGCGAGCGUUAAUCGGAAUUACUGGGCGUAAAGCGUGCGCAGGCGGUUUGCUAAGACCGAUGUGAAAUCCCCGGGCUCAACCUGGGAACUGCAUUGGUGACUGGCAGGCUAGAGUAUGGCAGAGGGGGGUAGAAUUCCACGUGUAGCAGUGAAAUGCGUAGAGAUGUGGAGGAAUACCGAUGGCGAAGGCAGCCCCCUGGGCCAAUACUGACGCUCAUGCACGAAAGCGUGGGGAGCAAACAGGAUUAGAAACCCUUGUAGUCCC
rnacentral:rRNA from 1 species